UGUGUAGGUGUCUUGAUAAGUCGGGUGUGAAAUCCUUCGGCUCAACCGGAGAAUUGCGCUCGAAACUAUUAAGAUUGAGUGUAUUAGAGGAAAGGGGAAUUCUUGGUGUAAGGGUGAAAUCUGUAGAUAUCAAGAAGAACACCGGCGGCGAAGGCGCCUUUCUGGGAUACAACUGACACUGAAACACGAAAGCGUGGGGAGCAAACAGGAUUAGAUACCCUGGUAGUCC
rnacentral:rRNA from 1 species